GAUGAAGAACGUAGCGAAAUGCGAUAAGUAAUGUGAAUUGCAGAACUCAGUGAAUCAUCGAAUCUUUGAACGCACAUUGCGCCCCCUGGAAUUCCGGGGGGCAUGCCUGUUCGAGCGUCUCAGGGACGAACCCUCGCGCGGGUGUACGCGCGGUCGUGGCUGCGGUGGCGUGCCCGAGGCGGCGGCCACCGCGCUGGAAUCCAUGGGCGGACGCCUGCCGCGUGGCCGAGCGUGAUAUGACGCAUUGGCGCUCGCACGCGGCGAGGCUGCCAGCCCUGGCCCGUCUGUCGGGCGGGGGAGAGCAAGACACGUGAACUCCUCGAAUCAGGUAGGGAUACCCGCUGAACUUAAGCAUAUCAAUAAGCGGAGGA
rnacentral:misc_RNA from 1 species